CCUGCGUUUCUUUCUCCCUUAGUCCGUCCGCUUUUUGAAUCUCCCUGCUGGCUUCUGCGAGCUCCCGCCCUUCCGCAGACGCGGGGGUCUCCCGGCGCACCAGGACAUGCAGGUUUUGUCCACCCUAGGGCUCCUGAGGAAUCGCGUUUAGUUUAGGUUCACUCUGCCCCAUACCUGUUUGUCCGACAGACAACCUUUAAAAAAAAAAAAAAGUUUUCCCUCCGGGGAUCAGAACGUUUAAACAUUAAACGUAGGCAAGGGCUUCCUGGCAGCCUGAGGGGCACCACCACCUUAACAUCUACGUAAGACUGAAAACCACUGGGGGCCGAGGUCCAGGGGUGAUGGAGACGCGAGGACCGAGGAUGGAGACCGAAUCAGGAAUCAGGCCCACGUCGUCAUCUACGUGACCGGCCGACAGGGUUUAAUUCCUAUCUGGGGUUAAAUGAAAUGCCAAGCAGAGGAGUUGAUUUUAAUUCCAGAUGGACUCAGUGUAUAUAACAGCGUGUAUUUUUCAAAGAAAUGGGUGUAAAGAGAACGAAUACGCGGAGAAUUUUAACGGAAUGCCUAUGUAAACAAGCACUAUUACUGCCCUCAAUUGUUUUCUGCUUGAGAAGACAUAGGUUGUGUUCUUCAUUAUCUAUCUGCAGCCAAAGUGUGGCAUCUUUUGCUUGUUCUAACUGUGGUAUACAUUCCAGAUCCUUUAGCAUAAUAUACUUUCGUCACAGAAAUGACAUCUUCAGGGAGACAACUUUGAAGAAAUGCCUGAAAGUCACAGUAGAAACACUUUCUUCUGUUACCUCCUGAAAGAUUGAAAUUUCGCAGAAGUAUCUAAUGAAGAGGAAUCUGAACAUAGCAGUUGAGGAAGGAAAAAGAUUGGGAGAAGAGCCCAGAUGUCAUAAAGCAAAGAGAGGAUGAGGUUGAGAUGACCAUCUGUGUGCUCAAUUGUUUUUAUGUAUUUUGGAUUAUGCCCUUAAUAGAGGCCCCUUGAAGCAGAAUUAUUGAGUAAAAGCUCUUGCUACGUCUUGAUAUUCAGGUUACAUCAGAUUUUAGGGCAUGUACUGUGUUUGUGAUUGCCAUCUCUUAACUGUUGGAAUGGAACAAAACAUUGGAGAUUAUUUUAAUGAGAAAAGCUUCUCCAGGAAGUCAGUAAUGACCAAAAAAUUAGGGUAGGGAACUCAGGGAGACCAAGUCAACUGUAAAGUGAGAUUCUUGACAUGGUUCAGCAGCUGCUUCCCAGUGGAUUUAAUCAGUAGACAUCUGGUGGGAAAGGUACCACAGCACUGACAGCAAAGAGCUGCUUCAGCUGGGUGUGAUGGCAGCUUGAAAUCCAGGAGGAAGGAAAACACAGUAACCAGGGUGAGAUGGAGGAAGGGGAUCGUGAGCCAAGGAAUGCAAGCGCUUCUAGAAGCUGGAAAAGACCCGGGAGGCAGACUCUCCUUCAGAGCCUCCGGAGGGAAAGCAGAGCAACCAACACCUUGAUGUGAGCCCGGGGGACCUCACUGGACUUCUAACCUACAGAUUUGUAUUGUUUAAGCCACUAGAUCUGUGGUAAUUUGUUACAGUGACAAUAGAAAAUCAGUAUGUUGUUAUUGUCAUUUGUUUGUCUGCUCUAGGCCAAGACUCAGUAGGGAAGCUUUGCUUUGACAUAUGGCAGCAUAAAUUCCCUUACAGUAAGAAAGGAUAGAAUUUUGAAUUCUAAAAAGCCACCGAAGUCUACAAAAAAUUCUUGAGCUGACUUUAUAUUAUUUCUAUCUUCCAAUCCUUUCCCCUCUUGCUUUAUAUUGACAAAGAUCAAAAAGGGGUCAGCAACUGUCUUUCACGAUUCUCCCAGAACCAUUAUUACACUGAAAUUUACAGGAUGUCUGACGUAUGAAGUACUAUCGUCCAUGGUUUCAGAAAGUAAAAAGCUUAAAUCUUCACUCAUUUGUUAGCUCACAACAGCAAAAGGUAACAACUGAGAAAAAAAUAAAUGAAGCAAAGAAAGAGAAAUAUCAAAGGGAAACUGAGCAAGAGAAAUAUCAAAGGGAAACUGAGA